CCUACGGGAGGCAGCAGUGGGGAAUAUUGCACAAUGGGCGCAAGCCUGAUGCAGCCAUGCCGCGUGUGUGAAGAAGGCCUUCGGGUUGUAAAGCACUUUCAGCGGGGAGGAAGGCGUUAAGGUUAAUAACCUUGUCGAUUGACGUUACCCGCAGAAGAAGCACCGGCUAACUCCGUGCCAGCAGCCGCGGUAAUACGGAGAGUGCAAGCGUUAAUCGGAAUUACUGGGCGUAAAGCGCACGCAGGCGGUCUGUCAAGUCGGAUGUGAAAUCCCCGGGCUCAACCUGGGAACUGCAAUCGAAACUGGCAGGCUAGAGUCUUGUAGAGGGGGGUAGAAUUCCAGGUGUAGCGGUGAAAUGCGUAGAGAUCUGGAGGAAUACCGGUGGCGAAGGCGGCCCCCUGGACAAAGACUGACGCUCAGGUGCGAAAGCGUGGGGAGCAAACAGGAUUAGAUACCCGGGUAGUC
rnacentral:rRNA from 1 species